rnacentral:tRNA from 5 species
GCCUGAGUGACGAAAUUGGUAGACGUAGCGGAUUCAAAAUCCGCCGGUGAAUAACCGUGUCGGUUCGAGUCCGACCUCAGGCACCA